UCGGGAAUUUUGGGCAAUGGGGGAAACCCUGACCCAGCAACGCCGCGUGAAGGAUGAAGUAUUUCGGUAUGUAAACUUCGAAAGAAUAGGAAGAAUAAAUGACGGUACUAUUUAUAAGGUCCGGCUAACUACGUGCCAGCAGCCGCGGUAAUACGUAGGGACCAAGCGUUGUUCGGAUUUACUGGGCGUAAAGGGCGCGUAGGCGGCAUGACAAGUCACUUGUGAAAUCUCUGGGCUUAACCCAGAACGGCCAAGUGAUACUGUCGCGCUAGAGUGCAGAAGGGGCAAUCGGAAUUCUUGGUGUAGCGGUGAAAUGCGUAGAUAUCAAGAGGAACACCUGAGGUGAAGACGGGUUGCUGGGCUGACACUGACGCUGAGGCGCGAAAGCCAGGGGAGCAAACGGGAUUAGAUACCCAGGUAGUCCCUGAGCGGGCUGGCAAGGCGCAU
rnacentral:rRNA from 1 species